AACAGUAUAAUUUAAUUUUUUUGGUUAUUAGUUGAAUUAAUAUUUUGUAUUUUAAUUUUAAGUUUAUAAGGUGGAAUUUGUAAAUUUAAUGGUAAAAUGAAUUUUAUAUUUUGAGGCUAAGAAAUUCGUUGAUAAACUAGGAUUAGAUACCCUAUUAUUUUGAAUGUAAAUUUUUAUGCUGGGCUAGUAUAAGUUAUGUUCUUUAAAAUUAAAGAUUUUGGCGGUAUUUUAGUCCAUUCAGAGGAACCUGUCCUAUAAUUGAUGAUCCACGAGUUAAAGUACUUCUUUAAUGUUUGUAUAUCGUCGUAGUUUGAAUAUUUUUUAAGAAUAAUAAUGUUCAUGAUUUUUUUAGAAAAGAUAUCAGAUCAAGGUGCAGCUUGUAGAGAAGGAGAGAUGGGUUACAAUAAAUUUAUUUAGGAGAAUUAAAUAUUUUGUGAAGUGUUAUGAAUUUGGAUUUGAGGGUAAUUUUAAUUAAAUAAUUAAAGUGAUUUAGGCUCUAAAAUAUGCACAUAUCGCCCGUCGCUUUCACCUUAAAGUGAAAUAAGUCGUAACAUAGUAGGCCUACCGGAAGGUGGGCCUGGAUAGAUCAAGUAAGAGCUUGUAAUAAAGCGUUUUAUUUACAUUAAAGAGUGAGUUGUGGAAUUCAAUUUUACUUGAAUUUGAUUUUUUAUUAUUAUUUAAAAUUUUAUUUUGAUUUUCAUAAGAAUAUUAAGGUUUAAUUAUUUGUUAAGAAAUAAUUUUUAUUAUUAUAGUUAAUUAGUAUUGCAAAAGAAGAGAUUCAAAUUUUAAGAGGAAAAAUUAAAUGUUU
rnacentral:rRNA from 1 species